ACUAUCUUUUAGGCUUUGCAUGUGUGGCUACUGUGUCACAUGUGCUCCAGUAGGCAAAAGAGAGGAGAAAGUCUAUGUCUAGGCUCAGGCUUCUGACCUAGGAGCUUCUGAAUGAUGUGUACACGAAAAUU
ensembl:snoRNA Gm23324 small nucleolar RNA SNORA17